rnacentral:rRNA from 2 species
GGCGGCGUGCCUAAUACAUGCAAGUCGAACGAGUUCUCGUUGAUGAUCGGUGCUUGCACCGAGAUUCAACAUGGAACGAGUGGCGGACGGGUGAGUAACACGUGGGUAACCUGCCCUUAAGUGGGGGAUAACAUUUGGAAACAGAUGCUAAUACCGCAUAGAUCCAAGAACCGCAUGGUUCUUGGCUGAAAGAUGGCGUAAGCUAUCGCUUUUGGAUGGACCCGCGGCGUAUUAGCUAGUUGGUGAGGUAAUGGCUCACCAAGGCGAUGAUACGUAGCCGAACUGAGAGGUUGAUCGGCCACAUUGGGACUGAGACACGGCCCAAACUCCUACGGGAGGCAGCAGUAGGGAAUCUUCCACAAUGGACGCAAGUCUGAUGGAGCAACGCCGCGUGAGUGAAGAAGGCUUUCGGGUCGUAAAACUCUGUUGUUGGAGAAGAAUGGUCGGCAGAGUAACUGUUGUCGGCGUGACGGUAUCCAACCAGAAAGCCACGGCUAACUACGUGCCAGCAGCCGCGGUAAUACGUAGGUGGCAAGCGUUAUCCGGAUUUAUUGGGCGUAAAGCGAGCGCAGGCGGUUUUUUAAGUCUGAUGUGAAAGCCCUCGGCUUAACCGAGGAAGCGCAUCGGAAACUGGGAAACUUGAGUGCAGAAGAGGACAGUGGAACUCCAUGUGUAGCGGUGAAAUGCGUAGAUAUAUGGAAGAACACCAGUGGCGAAGGCGGCUGUCUGGUCUGUAACUGACGCUGAGGCUCGAAAGCAUGGGUAGCGAACAGGAUUAGAUACCCUGGUAGUCCAUGCCGUAAACGAUGAAUGCUAGGUGUUGGAGGGUUUCCGCCCUUCAGUGCCGCAGCUAACGCAUUAAGCAUUCCGCCUGGGGAGUACGACCGCAAGGUUGAAACUCAAAGGAAUUGACGGGGGCCCGCACAAGCGGUGGAGCAUGUGGUUUAAUUCGAAGCAACGCGAAGAACCUUACCAGGUCUUGACAUCUUUUGAUCACCUGAGAGAUCAGGUUUCCCCUUCGGGGGCAAAAUGACAGGUGGUGCAUGGUUGUCGUCAGCUCGUGUCGUGAGAUGUUGGGUUAAGUCCCGCAACGAGCGCAACCCUUAUGACUAGUUGCCAGCAUUUAGUUGGGCACUCUAGUAAGACUGCCGGUGACAAACCGGAGGAAGGUGGGGAUGACGUCAAAUCAUCAUGCCCCUUAUGACCUGGGCUACACACGUGCUACAAUGGAUGGUACAACGAGUUGCGAGACCGCGAGGUCAAGCUAAUCUCUUAAAGCCAUUCUCAGUUCGGACUGUAGGCUGCAACUCGCCUACACGAAGUCGGAAUCGCUAGUAAUCGCGGAUCAGCACGCCGCGGUGAAUACGUUCCCGGGCCUUGUACACACCGCCCGUCACACCAUGAGAGUUUGUAACACCCGAAGCCGGUGGCGUAACCCUUUUAGGGAGCGAGCCGUCUAAGGUGGGACAAAUGAUUAG